GCCGCAGAUGUGGAUGUCGGGGGUGAGCUCCACCAGCACGGUGGUGCCGCCGGGAACUGGGGACACACAGGAGCAGGGUCUUCAUGUGAAAUGUUCACUGCCGGCACAACACUAAUAACUGUGCUGAGACCCAAACUGGCUGCAUGGGCGUAAUUCUCAGAAAACCACUCUGAUAUUGCAGCUCUUCCUAUCAAUCUCCCGUUUCAAGAGCUCUCUUAGAGCCACGUGUCCUCCGUAAGCCCUCAACCUUUACUUCAGUCACGCUCGCCCCAAAUCUUGAAGACCAUUUCAUUUAUAGUGCCAGGAACGCUGACAUACGGCACUUCCAAAUAUAAGAAUGCAAGGACCCGUCGUUAACAACACCGGACUUGCAGUUAUACCACCUCUUUGCACGAGACCUUUGAGGGAAAUGUGCACAGAAGCACACGGGUACGUGCAUAACGUGGCUUGCAGAGGUACCGGUGCUCACUUCCAGUGAAAGCUCCCGCAGGCUGGCCCUGCUUGCGGCUCUGUGUUUCAGCAGUACUUAGCCUGAUAAAGGCUCGAUCCUGGCUUUGGCAUGAACAUUGAAAACAUCAUUAUCAUCUUAUUAAUAAAGAAUAACACUUACAGAUCAGGACUUCAUUGAAGAAUGUUACGGACGGGGAGUUUUCAUUUUGCUGGAUGAGGAUCGAUGUAUAACACCGCACCGGGCACUUGAGUCGUCCGGCAGAGCUCUGCUGAGAUCACGCUUCACACUCUUUCCAGACUUUAAGGCAUAAAUCAGUAUGCACGUGUAACCUUUGUCACCUUUAACCCGACUGAAAUGAAAAUACCGCAGCGCUUCGGGCUCCCCCCAAGUGCAGUACAAGCAAACAAGGCCCAGAAAAGACAAAUGUCAAAUCAGAGAGGGGCAUGAAAAGUCAGGCCUCAUCAGAGCCUCGGGGACAGGUGCUGUUCGUGGGCACUGCUUUGGGCGGCUGCGGCUUCAGCGCUUUCCUGGAGACAGACGUUUAUGUACGACAAGAAAUGGGUAGACUUUUACCGUCAUACAGAGCUUCCCUCCACCCUCCCCGUCAUCGGGGAUCAUGCAGGGGCAACACAUCCUACCCUCAAGCUUGGAGAGAAAACCAACAACCCAGACCUACUGAAGCAGUGGGAAGGGAGGUAUCGGUGGAGCUAGACAGGAGAACAAACCCCGAUGUAGAGAAAGGCCUUUAAAAUAUUACACCAUGUACUACUGUUCGUUUGCCUUUCACAAUAAGUGGAGCAGGAUAGGUUUAAAAGAGAAAAAAAGAAAGAUAGAAACCAGAGGUGUAAGUGCAUAAAUGAACAGAACAUACCAAUAAGAUGUGAAAAAAACCCAACAGUGUCGCAAGAAGAGGAUAUAAACUUGCUCAUAAGCUUGCGGUCACUGAAGAGGGGAAGCUUAUCUCUCCUGAAGGCCCUGGUGCGAAAAUGUCACAAGUGAGACUGGAACGUGGCCUCGGGGACAGGGAAAAAAGGAACGUAAAUUGCAAUUAAAAAUUUCAGACGUUGAAGAUGGAGUCAAAUGAAUGGUGGGUUUAGAGAAAAAACCCAGCUAAUUAAAAUAACUUGAAGACUCAAACCCCAAUUUUUAGCAUUUCAUAAUUAUAUUGAUGGAUAAUGACAUACACGGCAACAUAAAUGCACCCAGCUCAAAUUAAUUAUGUUAAAGUAAUAGGUAAUCUGCCUCUGUGUUGAUAACAUAUAAUUAUGAUGAUGUUUUUCAAAUGUUUUAAAAUAAUGUCAUUUCAAUUCCUAAUGCAGGGUAGGGAUUUUGAAAAUGUUGUAUAAAUAGCAAAUACAUUAAACAGCAACGUCGUUGCUUUCGUCUACAGCAAAUAAAGUCUAAGUAGUCAGUGUGUACCCUAAGAUAGCUCUUCCUGCUGUGUGAACUGUAAAAUAACUCGAUACGAAAAUAUUGUUGACUGAAAUAGCCCAUCGACAACUGUGAUUAAACCUCAGAAGACUACUGUAGCAAAACAGAAGUGUAUUUUUAUGUGGCGAUGUCUAAUUAUUCAUUGUCAGAAAGCAGACCUAAAUCCAUACGGGAAGUUUUCAGGGGUUUAUGGGGUUAACUACGCAGCUAUGCUUCGCUGUCUUUCACCCAAUGGAAAAUACACAGUUAUGAUUAGAAAACUUCGCCGUAUUGCUUCAGGUCUGAAUUCAGUUUCUCAGGGAAUUUCUGAUUCUCUGCAGUUUGCUUCCCAGCAUGAAUUGCCCCGUCCC